UUACUAAUGACCGAGAAUAGGUGGUAGAUUGUAAAUCUAUUAACGGAGAAAUACUUCUUAGUAAA
rnacentral:tRNA from 1 species